rnacentral:rRNA from 1 species
CCGGCACGGGUGAGUAACACGUAUCCAACCUGCCGUCUACUCUUGGCCAGCCUUCUGAAAGGAAGAUUAAUCCAGGAUGGCAUCAUGAGUUCACAUGUCCGCAUGAUUAAAGGUAUUUUCCGGUAGACGAUGGGGAUGCGUUCCAUUAGAUAGUAGGCGGGGUAACGGCCCACCUAGUCGACGAUGGAUAGGGGUUCUGAGAGGAAGGCCCCCCACAUUGGAACUGAGACACGGUCCAA